rnacentral:lncRNA from 1 species
AAAAAACGCAAACCGAUGGGCCGACGGUUUGGAGGAUUUAUGGGCCGAGCCGACCGACGUUCGAAGACCAACCGGCCGAUCACCGAACCGUGGAAAUAAUCGGUUUUCGACCGACCGAAUAGAGCCGAGCCGAACUGGCAGCGGCGGCGCACUCAGAGAAGCAACAGUUGGAGGUGAGGCGGCGGCGCGGCUCGCUCAGGUGUGGAGGUGAGGCGGCGGUGCAGAGGAAGGCUCACCGCUCCGAAACUAACCUGUGCUGUGGACGACGACGGCUGUGGGCUGGGCGCGACGACGA